UACCUGGUUGAUCCUGCCAGUAGUCAUAUGCUUGUCUCAAAGAUUAAGCCAUGCAUGUCUAAGUACAGGCCUACCCAGGGCGAAACCGCGAAUGGCUCAUUAAAUCAGUCAUGAUUUAUUGGAUGUCGUAAAAUCCCUUACAUGGAUAACUGUGGUAAUUCUAGAGCUAAUACAUGCAAUUGAGCUCCGACCUCGUCGCUGUCAAAGGCGUCGAGGGAAGUGUGCUUUUAUUAGAUAAAAAACCGAGUGGACUUCGGUCCUUCUCCCAUAAAGAGUCAGUGAUGAAUCUGAAUAACCUAGCCGAGCGCUGUGGUCUUCGUACCGGCGUCGUAUCUUUCAAGUGUCUGCCUUAUCAGCUUUCGAUUGUAGGUUAUACGCCUACAAUGGCUGUAACGGGUAACGGGGAAUCAGGGUUCGAUUCCGGAGAGGGAGCCUGAGAAACGGCUACCACAUCUAAGGAAGGCAGCAGGCACGCAAAUUACCCACUCCCGGCACGGGGAGGUAGUGACGAAAAAUAACGAUGCGGGACUCUUCCGAGGCCUCGCAAUCGGAAUGAGUCUACCCUAAAUCCUUGGACGAGGAUCCAUUGGAGGGCAAGUCUGGUGCCAGCAGCCGCGGUAAUUCCAGCUCCAAUAGCGUAUAUUAAAGUUGCUGCGGUUAAAAAGCUCGUAGUUGGACUUCUGAUUCGGUCCGGCGGCCCAUCCAAGGCGUACCCUCGUCACGCGCGAGGGGAUAUCUUUGGCUUCACCCGUCUCGGCGGUCUCGUAAUCGAGUGCGAGUACUUAAUACGCAGUCGGUGGCGUUGGAUAACACGGAACCUCUCCCAUUACGGCGCGCGUGGUGCGUGUGUCGCGGAGAAGGGCUCAAGCGGGUUUGGAAGCGGCGGAGCGAAUCCGGGCGGGUUGGAUCUUCCCCUCACGGGUGUCGAUCGGCGGUUUAGCGGGGUCGAGAGUACUUUCGGCGCGUGGAAAUUUUUUCCUCACGCCGGAUUUCCACUUCUCGGCUCUUUCGCGGCCGUCGGGAGUCCGUGAGAAGGGGCCUUCCCGAAUCCGUUCGUUCUCGUCCUCCUUUCCCGUUCCUUCUCCCUUCCACGCGUUUUACAUGCCACGUUCGCGUCGGGAUGCAUCUUCCAUCCUUCCGCUCAACCGCUCGAUUAUGCUCCUCUCGUUCGGCGUUGGCCCCGGGAUUAAAAGCGGGAGUACGCUGUAUGGGUACUUCCGUUCCGGGCGAGUAAGUGCGCCCGGUGGUUCAACUGCCCGGCCCCGAAUUGAGAAAUCCGUCGGCUUUCACGGGGUGCUCUUCACCGAGUGUCCCGCGUGGCCGAUACGUUCACUUUGAAAAAAUUAGAGUGCUCAGAGCAGGCAAUAACUAACGCCUGAAUGGUAGUGCAUGGAAUGAUGGAACAGGACCUCGGUUCUGUAUUUUUUUUUUGGCUCGGUUCGUCAGAACCCGAGGUAAUGAUUAACAGAAAAAGACGGGGGCAUUAGUAUUGCGACGCUAGAGGUGAAAUUCUUGGACCGUCGCAAGACUAACUACUGCGAAAGCAUUUGCCUAGAAUGUUUUCAUUAAUCAAGAACGAAAGUUAGAGGAUUGAAGGCGAUCAGAUACCGCCCUAGUUCUAACCAUAAACGAUGCUAACUGGCGAUCCGCUUAAGUCAUUCCCACGACUGAGCGGGAAGCCCCCGGGAAACCAAAGUCUUUGAGUUCCGGGGGAAGUAUGGUUGCAAAGCUGAAACUUAAAGGAAUUGACGGAAGGGCACCACCAGGAGUGGCUGCGGCUUAAUUUGACUCAACACGGGGAACCUCACCAGGCCCAGACGCCGGAAGGAUUGACAGAUUAAGAGCUCUUUCUCGAUUCGGUGGGUGGUGGUGCAUGGCCGUUCUUAGUUGGUGGAGCGAUCUGUCUGGUUGAUUCCGAUAACGAACGAGACUCUACCCUACUAACUAGUCGGCGGAUCGUCUCCCGAGAAGGGCCCUCGCCCGGUAGUUUUCGGCGUCCCUUCCUUUCUUACGCCCCCUUUCGCGGUCGGCGGCGCGUCCGUACGGGGUGCGUGAGCUCGUAUUCGAAUUCAUUCGUUGCANCGCUUCGCUCCCGCGCGGUACGUCGUCGUCGGCGGGGAGGGAUCAGCGCCUGGGGGAAGCGUCGUUGCUCCGAGCGUCGGGCCCAGGCGAGGGGGCGUCCGUCGCAACAUCUUCUUAGAGGGAUCGGCGGCGUCCAGCCGCACGAGAAAGAGCAAUAACAGGUCUGUGAUGCCCUUAGAUGCUNUGGGCCGCACGCGCGCUACAAUGAAGGGAUCAGCGUGCUCUCCCCCUCCGAAAGGAGCGGGUAACCCGUUGAAACCCCUUCCCGAUUGGGAUUGGGGCUUGUAAAUAUUUCCCAUGAACGAGGAAUUCCCAGUAAGCGCGAGUCAUCAGCUCGCGUUGAUUACGUCCCUGCCCUUUGUACACACCGCCCGUCGCUACUACCGAUUGAAUGAUUCAGUGAGGGCAUCGGACUGGCGCCCUCGGUAGCCUUCGGCUCGCACUAAAAAGUCUCGUUUCGGCGGGGCUGCGGCCGCGGGCACCCCGGGCUGACGGAAAGAUGUCCGAACUUGAUCAUUUAGAGGAAGUAAAAGUCGUAACAAGGUUUCCGUAGGUGAACCUGCGGAAGGAUCAUUA
rnacentral:rRNA from 1 species